UGCGCAGGCGGGCUUGUAAGUCAGUGGUGAAAUACUGCCGCUUAACGGUAGAACUGCCAUUGAUACUGCGAGUCUUGAAUAUGGUUAAGGUAGGCGGAAUGUGUUGUGUAGCGGUGAAAUGCAUAGAUAUGACACAGAACGCCGAUUGCGAAGGCAGCUUACUAAGCCAUUAUUGACGCUGAGGCACGAAAGCGUGGGGAGCGAACAGGAUUAGAUACCCUGGUAGUCC
rnacentral:rRNA from 1 species